rnacentral:rRNA from 1 species
CCAAUAGCGUAUAUUAAAGUUGUUGCAGUUAAAAAGCUCGUAGUUGAAUUUCGGGAUCAUCAGGUUGGUCGUGCCUCUGGUAUGUACUGAUUUCGAUGGUUCCUCCUUCUUGAAGAACCGUAAUGCCAUUAAUUUGGUGUUGCGGGGAAUCAGGACUGUUACUUUGAAAAAAUUAGAGUGUUUAAAGCAGGCAAUCGCUUGAAUACAUUAGCAUGGAAUAAUGAAAUAGGACGUUCGAUCCUAUUUUGUUGGUUUCUAGGAUUGACGUAAUGAUUAAUAGGGAUAGUUGGGGGCAUUAGUAUUCAAUUGUCAGAGGUGAAAUUCUUGGAUUUAUUGAAGACUAACUACUGCGAAAGCAUUUGCCAAGGAUGUUUUCAUUAAUCAAGAACGAAAGUUAGGGGAUCGAAGACGAUCAGAUACCGUCGUAGUCUUAACCAUAAACUAUGCCGACUAGGGAUCGGAUGAUGUUAAUUUUUUAAUGACUCAUUCGGCGCCUUACG